AGAGUUUGAUCCUGGCUCAGAAUCAACGCUGGCGGCGUGCCUCAGACAUGCAAGUCGAACGCGAAAGUCCCCUUCGGGGGGCGAGUAGAGUGGCGCACGGGUGAGUAACACGUAGGUAAUCUACCUUUGGAUUGGGAAUAACCACCGGAAACGGUGGCUAAUACCGAAUAAUGCAGCGGCACCUAAUGGUGACAGUUGUUAAAGCGGGGGAUCGCAAGACCUCGCGUCUGAAGAGGAGCCUGCGGCGGAUUAGCUAGUUGGUAAGGUAACGGCUUACCAAGGCUGUGAUCCGUAGCCGGCCUGAGAGGGCGGUCGGCCACACUGACACUGACAUACGGGUCAGACUCCUACGGGAGGCAGCAGUCGGGAAUUUUGGGCAAUGGGCGAAAGCCUGACCCAGCAACGCCGCGUGAAGGAUGAAAUCCCUCGGGAUGUAAACUUCGCAAGAACGGGAAGAAUAAGUAAGAGUUAAUAUCUCUUAUGAUGACGGUACUGUUUGUAAGCUCCGGCUAACUCCGUGCCAGCAGCCGCGGUAAUACGGGGGGAGCAAGCGUUGUUCGGAUUUACUGGGCGUAAAGGGCGCGUAGGCGGCCACCGCAAGUCGACUGUGAAAUCUCCGGGCUUAACCCGGAAAGGUCAGCCGAUACUGCGGGGCUAGAGUGCAGAAGGGGCAACUGGAAUUCUCGGUGUAGCGGUGAAAUGCGUAGAUAUCGAGAGGAACACCUGCGGCGAAGGCGGGUUGCUGGGCUGACACUGACGCUGAGGCGCGAAAGCUAGGGGAGCGAACGGGAUUAGAUACCCUUGUAGUCC
rnacentral:rRNA from 1 species